rnacentral:rRNA from 1 species
UACGAAGGGGGCUAGCGUUGCUCGGAAUCACUGGGCGUAAAGGGUGCGUAGGCGGGCCUUUAAGUCAGGGGUGAAAUCCUGGAGCUCAACUCCAGAACUGCCUUUGAUACUGAGGAUCUUGAGUUCGGGAGAGGUGAGUGGAACUGCGAGUGUAGAGGUGAAAUUCGUAGAUAUUCGCAAGAACACCAGUGGCGAAGGCGGCUCACUGGCCCGAUACUGACGCUGAGGAGCGAAAGCGUGGGGAGCGAACAGG